rnacentral:misc_RNA from 1 species
GAUGAAGAACGUAGCGAAAUGCGAUAAGUAAUGUGAAUUGCAGAAUUCAGUGAAUCAUCGAAUCUUUGAACGCACAUUGCGCCCCUUGGUAUUCCGAGGGGCAUGCCUGUUCGAGCGUCAUUAUAACCCCUCAAGCUCAGCUUGGUGUUGGGGCCUGCUGCACUGGCAGCCCUUAAAAUCAGUGGCGGCGCCAUCUGGCUCUAAGCGUAGUAAUCCUUCUCGCUAUGGAGUCCUGGUGGAUGCUUGCCAUCAACCCCCAAUUUUUCUAUGGUUGACCUCGGAUCAGGUAGGGAUACCCGCUGAACUUAAGCAUAUCAAUAAGCGGAGGA